rnacentral:misc_RNA from 1 species
AGUAUCUGGUUCUCCUUCACUACCUGCACAAACAAACCCAAUUAUAGGAUGCUUGUGGCCAUAACUUGCCAACAGGAGUCCAUGGUAAUAAGAUGAGUGAAGUUAAACAACAAUAGAUACAAGGUUAAUCUUAGCAAUGCAAUGACAAAAUAUAGUCAAAAUAUCAUUUCCAGAGGCAGACACGAAAACCAAAUCAAACUGAAGCCUAUCAAAGUGAAUCUCAAAGAGAUGCAAAUAUUUAAUUUAGGAUCCACAUUAUUCUCAUAUAUUGAGGGUCAGCCUCACUGCAAUGGUAACAUCCAUCAUCAACUAGAGGUCCGGCACUCGCAGAAAUAGCAUCUUUGGAAAUACAAGGGCCUGAAGGCUACAACAUUGUAACCUAGAGGAAAUGACUACAAAUUACAGAAAUAGCCUCAUUGAAAAUACAAGAGGAAGGACCAGAGGCUACAUGAAUCUCUGAUGCAUGUAACAACGGCAUUCACACAUGUUAAUUCCUACAUCAUCAUGCACUCAAUAUCAAAAUCAAGAAAU